GGUCAGUGAUGAGCCGGCAUGUAUUCUGAAACUGAAGUUGAUUAAUACUACUUUAGCUCUAGAAUUACUCUGAGACCUA